GGAAGCAUGGUGUAGUGGUUAUCACUCUUGUCUUACAGCGCCCAGAGCUGGUCACAAGCGGUCUUCGGUUCGAACCCGAGUGUUUCCA